AUCGCUUCUCGGCCUUUUGGCUAAGAUCAAGUGUAUUUAUUUAAAAAAAAAAUUUUUUUUAAUGUUUAUUUCUGAGGCAGAGAGAGACAGAGCAUGAAUGGGGGAGGGGCAGAGAAAGAGGGAGACACAGAUUCAGAAGCAGGCUCCAGGCUCCAGGCUCUGAGCUGGCAGCACAGAGCCCGACGCGGGGCUCGAACU